rnacentral:rRNA from 1 species
UACGUAGGGUGCAAGCGUUGUCCGGAAUUAUUGGGCGUAAAGAGCUCGUAGGCGGUCUGUUGCGUCGGCUGUGAAAACCCGGGGCUCAACUCCGGGCCUGCAGCCGAUACGGGCAGACUAGAGUUCGGCAGGGGAGACUGGAAUUCCUGGUGUAGCGGUGAAAUGCGCAGAUAUCAGGAGGAACACCGGUGGCGAAGGCGGGUCUCUGGGCCGAUACUGACGCUGAGGAGCGAAAGCGUGAGGAGCGAACAGG